UACGGAGGGGGUUAGCGUUGUUCGGAAUUACUGGGCGUAAAGCGCGCGUAGGCGGACCAGAAAGUUGGGGGUGAAAUCCCGGGGCCCAACCCCGGAACGGCCUCCAAAACUCCUGGUCUUGAGUUCGAGAGAGGUGAGUGGAAUUCCGAGUGUAGAGGUGAAAUUCGUAGAUAUUCGGAGGAACACCAGUGGCGAAGGCGGCUCACUGGCUCGAUACUGACGCUGAGGUGCGAAAGUGUGGGGAGCAAACAGC
rnacentral:rRNA from 1 species